AACGCUCGCUCGGCGGGACGUGCGCCGUCUCCUCGGCAACGGCCGCGCAGCCGGGGGUGGGGGGGGGAGCGAGAACUCGCCCGGCCCCGGGCUGGCUGGAGCCGCAGUGCGAACCCAAAGGCGCGCAGGACGGGCGGGCGUCGUCACGUGAGGCUCCGGCCCGGAACGAACCGCCUGAAACUACAGAUCCCAGAAUGCCACACUCCUCCCGGUAACCAAGGGAGGUACCGAACUACAAAUCCCAGCAUGCUGUGCGCCCUUCUCAGCGGGUCCGCUGGAUGGAGGCUGGAAGGCCGGGGCCGGAGUGUUUUGAGUGCUUUAAAUUCUCUGGACCAGCUGGAGGCCGUCAGCUCCCGAUGGAGAUGAAAGGACUAGUAAAGCCUUGGACUAGUAAAGUCCCGAUGGAGAUGAAAGGACUAGUAAAGCCUUGGACUAGUAAAGUCCCGAUGGAGAUGAAAGGACUAGUAAAGCCUUGGAUCUCUCCUGUAGUAGUCCAUUCCUACCCACGAUCCUGUCACUAAACUCUCGGGCCCUUACAGUCGAACCCCUGAUUUUAACAAGGAGAUUAAACCCACAGGAAUUAAAAUUUGCUACCCGCGCGCGUGUCAUAUGUGAAUAGUCGGUGGAAGAAUCGUAUUUUCAACGAUCGUCGCCACUUGGAACGCUGUCCCGCUUCUUGGUUGGUAGAAACAGGUGGUUUUAAGCAGGGUUUAAUCUCACGAAGUUUUCUCUGAACCCCGUUGUCUUCAAAUUCCUUUUUAAUUUAUAUUCUUGUUAACAGCUGUAUUAAGGUGGAACAAGGCAUUCCCUCUGUGAAGAGUCCUCACACUCAGAAUAUCAGAAAUGAAAGAUAAGAUUUUAGACAUUGAGGAAACAAAAAGAUGAACACCAGAGUAGUUCCUACUUCUCACCGUUUGCAGGAAAAAAAGAGACAGUGCUGAUGUGGAAUGAAAAGAACCCGAUGCUUGUCCUUGCACCUCUGAAAAGAGGACAAAGGAAGCUCAGUGGCAAGGGGUGUGGAUUGAUGACUCCGGUCCAGUGACUGCAGCAGGAACCGAUGUGACCAUGGUACCGCGCCAGCCUCACCCUAUUCAAAGCCCCGGAAAUCCUGUGCAAUUCCCAAGCCAAAGAGAAAUGCUUAAAUUGUCUGAAUUGAAUGAGAUUAAACUUCUCCAAGGCUCUACAGGGAGCUUUUAGGAAACAUAAUACUGUGGAUACUAGACAUCUCUGCACUGUGAAUUCCACUGAAAACUUUGAGCUCACAGGGGAAAGAAAGGGAAGAGAAUGCAACGUGGAAUGUCAGCUUCAGUAAACAUCUCCGAACUGAAUAUUCACUAUCCUGUUCUUUAAAGAUCUCUGACCAUGACCCAGAGCUGCUGAGGCGCUGUCUUGCUUGGUCAUCUUCAUGAAGCCUUUAUACUCUACUCCCUCGGCCCCUGUUCAUGCCUCCUCCUUUUACCCCUUUCUUCCUGGAACUCUAACCAGAGUCCCAAAUGUCUAAGUCCUUCUGCAUUAGCGGAACACCUUUGUUCUCCUAACCCCAUUUGGAGCACUUGCCAGCUAGCUCUGCCGUGGAAAUAAAGAGUGUUGCUCUUCUACCCUCACACCACUUAGUGUGACCCCACCCCUGCACAGCAUGCUAAGACAUGAAAGUCUUCUCUGAAGACUGAAAUUCAUCACACAAAGCCCUGACAGAUCCUGACUAGCAGCUACCUCCAGAAGACACAUUUCCAUCACUCUGACAUCAUGGACCCUGAUCCUCAGGAGUGAGGCAGGGGACUGCCAACUUGGUUAUUAGGUGCCAGUGUUCGGUUCAAGACAUAGUGAGAAAGGACUUAGUGCGUCCACUUUUCUACGUAGGUCCCACUGUUGUGUCUGUUACAUCACCCACAUCUGGUCACUUUAAAAAAAACAUGCUCUGGCUGGUGAUGUUGUUCAGUCAGCUGCGUGCUUGCAUAGCCUGACAAAACCUGAAGUUCCAUCUCUAUCUAGCACUACAAGAAACUAUGUAGCACAUGCCCAGAAAUCAUAAGUACUUAAGAGGUAGAGGCAGAAAGAUUAAGGUUCUAGGGCAUCCUAGGCUACAUGGUGUAGUUUGAGGCCAGACGGGCUUACAAGAAACCCUGUCUCAAAAAAAACUAGAAAAUAAAAAUCUCAGUGUUCAAAGGCUAUAAGUACUCUCUGCAGUAAAUGCUUCUGCUCUGAUAGAAACUUCUGGGGAGGAGGCAUGUGGAGAGUACAAAAGAGAGUGAAGAGGGGAGGAGCAGGGAGGCGCGGGGGAGAGAGAAUUUCACUGAACCAUAGAGGGUUAGGAAGAUGUGGAAGAAACAAGUCUCCUUGUACUGUUACGGGCCAAGUGAAACCUUGGCUGACACUGGUGGUACCUCCACUCCCUUUAUUCUACUUUGCCUCCAACACAGCCCAAAAUGCUGCUCUCCAGAGCGGAUACUGCACCUUUUGGGCGACUAGCCUCAAAACUUGUGAAGUAACCUUUUCUGUGUUACUUGGCCUGAAGUUUUUGUUAUAGAAUGGAAGAGUACAGAAGAGGUUUUGUUUUGUUUUUUAAGCCUA